rnacentral:sRNA from 1 species
AUUUUACAUAGUUUUAAUCACCAAUAAACAAAAAAUCAAAUUCAAAUUUAGAAAACAACAAAAAAACAUGAACAUAAUAGCAACAUACAUUUGCUUCAUUGAGAUAUGUUAGAAUAUAUGUACAUUUAUUGAUAGAUUUUAUAUGUGAAUACAUGUGCAUAUAGGUAUACAUCUCAUUGAUUAAUCAAAUUGUAAGGAGUAUAUUUAUUUGUUACUUAUAGAAUUCAACACCGUUUGACCAAUCUUGAUGAAACUUGGCAUAAAUCUUCCUUAGAUCAUGUCGGAGACCAUAGUGUAGGCCUACCUUUAAUAUUCCUACCACCACAGGAGGGCCCUAAAAAAUAAAAAUAACAAAAUGUCCAAAUGUAUAGAAUUAGAUUUAGGUCGAACAGCCAUUUUGACAUACAUUCUAACACUAGCCCGUUCAUAAACAUCUUUCCUCGCGCGUUGAUACAAAUCAAAUUAGCGUGUAACAAAUAAACGAAGUAUUGUAGACCAAUGAUUGAACAUUUUUACCGUUCAUAAACUACAUUUUUAAAUUCUAUUCACCUUUAUUUUUUACUAGACAAAACCAAACCUAUUAGAAUUACACAAUCACUAUAGGCUAAUUCUAAGUUUUUAUUUAUGGAUUUUUAACGAGCAUGCUCAUCUCUAAACUUACUUUUAGAUGUAGGUCAAGUCUAGAGAUUAAACAGCUGUAUUUUUAGAUGUAGGUCAAGUCUAGAGAUUAAACAUCUGUAUUUUUAGAUGUAGGUCAAGUCUAGAGAUUAAACAGCUGUAUUUUUUGAUCUAGCUAGGUCAAGUCUAGAGAUUAAACAGCUGUAUUUUUAGAUGUAGGUCAAGUCUAGAGAUUUAACAGCUGUAUUUUUACAUGUAGGUCAAGUCUAGAGAUUAAACAGCUGUAUUUUUAAAUGUAGGUCUAGAGAUUAAAUAGCUGUAUUUUUACAUGUAGGUCAAGUCUAGGGAUUAAACAGCUGUAUUUUUAGAUCUAGGUCAAGUCUAGAGAUUAAACAGAUGUAUUUUUAGAUGUAGAAAUCUUGAAGAAACUUGCCAUGAAUAUACAGGAUUUCUUAUACACCGAUCACGUUGGGAUGGAAAGGGGUGGUAGGCCUAUAUCUCAAAUUUUCUCACAGGGAUGUUUUACAUGUUUCGGAUGUUCCUUCAGAUUUGAAGAUAAUUUCAACCCAGUUCAAACCAAGAAACCUGCUGCAGGAUGGCAGCCGGUUGGGUAUGAACCGGUGACCAUCGAGAUUCAACAAUCCCAACGACAGUUCAGUGCGCAUACCACGCAAUCAGGCAAAAUCCGUUGUUAUUGUAAGAGGCACAAAUCUACUCUACCAGAGGAGUUUACGGUCCAGCCUUUGGAAUAUAACAACGACCACUUCAAUUCUUUGUUAUGUCACGCUCAUUUAUUUUAUGACUCAACUAUUUUAUAGAUGCCUUUCAUAUAUAAGCGUAAAAACAAAAACAAA